CCCAAACCGAGGCUGUAACGUCAUGCUCGAGUCAAAACCUCACCCACCCUCCCAGAAGCGAGCAGCUUUUUCACACACAGGCGCAGACUGACUGAGACUGACUGGCUGGCUGGCGCCGUAGCGGAUUGCUGUAGUUAACGGACACACUGCACAAUGCGUGAAUAUAAAUUAGUAGUCCUCGGAUCAGGAGGUGUCGGCAAGUCUGCGCUGACUGUUCAGUUUGUCCAAGGGAUCUUUGUGGAAAAGUACGACCCCACAAUAGAAGACUCAUACAGAAAGGCAAGUCCAGUUUUGUUUGUUGUUGGGUGUCAAAUCAAUUUCAAAGU